rnacentral:rRNA from 1 species
UACGGAGGGUGCAAGCGUUAUCCGGAUUCACUGGGUUUAAAGGGUGCGUAGGUGGGUUGGUAAGUCAGUGGUGAAAUCUCCGGGCUUAACUCGGAAACUGCCGUUGAUACUAUCAAUCUUGAAUAUCGCGUAGGUAAGCGGAAUAUGUCAUGUAGCGGUGAAAUGCUUAGAUAUGACGUAGAACACCAAUGCGAAGGCAGCUUACUUCACGAUCAUUGACACUGAGGCACGAAAGCGUGGGGAGCAAACAGG